rnacentral:rRNA from 1 species
UACGUAGGGGGCGAGCGUUGUCCGGAUUUAUUGGGCGUAAAGAGCGUGUAGGCGGCCAGGUAGGUCUGCUGUGAAAACUCGAGGCUCAACCUCGAGACGUCGGCGGAAACCAUCUGGCUAGAGUCCGGAAGGGGAGAGUGGAAUUCCUGGUGUAGCGGUGAAAUGCGCAGAUAUCAGGAAGAACACCCGUGGCGAAGGCGGCUCUCUGGGACGGUACUGACGCUGAGACGCGAAAGCGUGGGGAGCGAACAGG